rnacentral:lncRNA from 1 species
GUGGUCUCCUGUUAUAUCAUUUGAAUCAUCUAGGGUGUAGAUUAGUGGGUUUGUUUCUCUAUUUGAUAUAAAAGACAUUCCAGCGCACAAUCCAGAGAAAAAGGAGAAGGAGAUUGAGAUAGAAGAUGUUACCAAUGACCUUAGACGAUGGAGGAGCUCGCGGUUGGAGCAGUGGUGGUGACAGCGUCGCUGGCAGUGCCUUCCUUC